rnacentral:rRNA from 1 species
AAGUCGGCGAUCCUUAGUUGAUUUGAGAGAAGAAUCAGCCACAUACGGGUAUGAGAAAGACCCUACCUAUUCGGCAGCAGUGAGGAAUUUUAGGCAAUGUGCGGAAGCAUGACCUAGUGAAUCAGUGGAGGUGAUGAAGGCUAUGGCAGCUGUAAAGCUUGUGCGUGGAAUAGAAUAAUAGUUAAUUCUAAAGAGAAACCAUGGCCAAUACAUGUGCCAGCAGCCGCGGUAAUACAUGAGUGGUGAGCAUUAUUCGCAUUAAUUGGGCGUAUAGGAUGCGUAGACGGCUAUGUAAAUUUCCUUUAACUACAGUAGUAUAAUAGGAUCUAAUGGAAUAUACGUAGCUUGAAUAAUUAAUAGGCGGACGGACCUAGUAAACUAGUGAUAAAAUGCUGAGAGUUUAUUAGUACCCCCUAAAGUGUAGACAGUUUACCAUUAAUUAUUGACGUUGAGGCAUGAAAGUAUAGUUAACGACGAGGAUUAGAAACCCUACUAGUCUAUACCGUAAAAGAUGAGUAUUCAAUUUUUUUUUAAAAGAAUUUGAGUUAACACGUUAAAUACUCCGCCUGGGGAGUACAGUCGCAAGAUUUGAACUUAACAAAAUUGGCGGGAAUUUGCUCAAACGGUGGAACAUGUGGUUUAAUGCGAUAAUCCGCGAAAAAUCUUACCAGUAUUUAUUGUUUCUCUUUAUGCUGCAGGUAGCGUUUAUGGAUAAGAGAAACAAAUUAGAGUUGCAUGGCUGUCGUCAGUUCGUACCGUGAGGUGUAGAAUUAAGUUUUGUUACGAACGCAACCCUCAAAAUUCAGUUUUAAAAAUAAUUUUUUUCUGGAUGAGCUCUUUAUUACAGUUAUAUCUUUUAACUAUUAGAGUGAAAUAAGAGGCUAAAGUCAAGUCCUUAUGACCUUCGUAUACUGGGCUACACACGUGUUACAAGAAUAAAAACAAAGAGUUACGAAAGUGCAAACUGGAGUGAAGCUCUAAAAUUUAUUUAAGUGCAGAUUGUUUUCUGAAACUUGAAAACAUGAAGAUGAAAUCGUUAGUAAUUGUGCAUUAGUACGGCACAGUGAAUGAAAAAUCAAAUUUUGCACACACCGCCCAUCACGCUCGAAAAAUGAUUGUCGCUGGAAGGAGGAUGGUUUUUUGAGUCGAUAAAUUUAUUUAAAGAAUGUGCAUAUACUUUAGUUUAAGUUAAACUAAUUUUGUAUGUAUCAGAAAAAAGAUUAACUUUGAAUGCGCCCUUGGUGAUUUGAGUGAAGUUGACACAAGGUACUGGUAGGGGAACCUGUUGGUGGAU